rnacentral:rRNA from 1 species
CCCGCCUAUAUACCGCCGUCGUCAGCUUACCCUGUGAAGGCCCCAACAGUAAGCAGAAUUGGCACAUAGCCCAAAACGUCAGGUCGAGGUGUAGCGUACGAGAGGGGAAGAAAUGGGCUACAUUUACUGGACCAGUACAUACGAACCCUGUUCUGAAAAUGACAGGUGAAGGAGGAUUUAGCAGUAAGGGGAGAAUAGAGCGCCCCCCUGAAACCGGCCCUGAAGCGCGCACACACCGCCCGUCACUCUCCCCGAAAAACCAUAACAAAUAAUUAAAACCCUGCCAUUAAUAGAGGGGAGGCAAGUCGUAACAUGGUAAGUGUACCGGAAGGUGCACUUGGAAAAACC